rnacentral:rRNA from 1 species
AACGAACGCUGGCGGCAUGCCUAACACAUGCAAGUCGAACGAGACCUUCGGGUCUAGUGGCGCACGGGUGCGUAACGCGUGGGAACCUGCCUUUAGGUUCGGAAUAACAGUGAGAAAUUACUGCUAAUACCGGAUGAUGUCUUCGGACCAAAGAUUUAUCGCCUUUAGAUGGGCCCGCGUUGGAUUAGCUAGUUGGUGGGGUAAAGGCCUACCAAGGCGACGAUCCAUAGCUGGUCUGAGAGGAUGAUCAGCCACACUGGGACUGAGACACGGCCCAGACUCCUACGGGAGGCAGCAGUGGGGAAUAUUGGACAAUGGGCGAAAGCCUGAUCCAGCAAUGCCGCGUGAGUGAUGAAGGCCUUAGGGUUGUAAAGCUCUUUACUGGGGAUGAUAAUGACAGUACCCAGAGAAUAAGCUCCGGCUAACUCCGUG